rnacentral:rRNA from 1 species
GAUGAACGCUGGCGGCGUGCCUAACACAUGCAAGUCGAGCGUGAAUCGCUAAAGUGGAGACUUCGGUUGAAGCGAUAGUGAGGAAAGCGGCGGACGGGUGAGUAACGCGUGGGCAACCUGCCCCAUACAGCCGGAUAGCCACUGGAAACGGUGAUUAAUACGGCAUAAGACCACGAUACCGCAUGGUAACGGGGUCAAAGAUUUAUCGGUAUGGGAUGGGCCCGCGUCUGAUUAGCUAGUUGGUGAGGUAACGGCUCACCAAGGCGACGAUCAGUAACCGGCCUGAGAGGGCGAACGGUCACACUGGAACUGAGACACGGUCCAGACUCCUACGGGAGGCUG